rnacentral:rRNA from 1 species
UACGGGGGGGGCAAGCGUUGUUCGGAAUUACUGGGCGUAAAGGGCUCGCAGGCGGCCGACUAAGUCAGACGUGAAAUCCCUUGGCUUAACCAAGGAAUGGCGUCUGAUACUGGACGGCUUGAAUCCGGGAGAGGGAUGUGGAAUUCCAGGUGUAGCGGUGAAAUGCGUAGAUAUCUGGAGGAACACCGGUGGCGAAGGCGGGUCUCUGGGCCGAUACUGACGCUGAGGAGCGAAAGCGUGGGGAGCGAACAGG